CUCGGAAAUCCGCAUACUAGCCAUGUCAUGCCUAAUUACCUCUUCCCAAUACUUCUUUGGCCUCCCUCUGCCUUGACUCGCGCCAACCACCUCCAAACGCUCACAACUCCUCAUCGGGGCAUCUGGGCUUCUCCUCCGCACAUGCCCGAAUUACCUGAGUCUCGCCUCCCGCAACUUCUCAUUCACCGGCGCCACACCCACCUUUUCUCGAAUAACUUCAUUCCUAAUCUUAUCUAACCUGGUGAGCCCGAACAUCCACCUGAGCAUUCUCAUCUCCGCAACCUUCAUUCUAUGAACAUGAGAUUUUUUCGCCGGCGAGUACUCCCCCCGUACAACAUGACAUGUCUAACCACAACUCUAUAAAACUUCUCCUUGAAUUUCUGUGGUACUUUCUUGUCACACAAGACUCCUGAUGCAAGUCUCCAUUUCGACCACCUUGCCCCUCUACGAUGAGUGACAUUCCCGUCGAUCUAUCCAUCCCCCCUGGAUCAUUGACCCCAGGUAUUUGAAACUGUCCCUCUUGGCGAUGGCCUGAGAUCCAAGCCUCACAACCCUGCCUACUUCUUCUUUGCUCGACUCUGCGCUAAACUUACACUCAAGGUAUUCUGUCUAAUACCUACUUAGUUUGAAACCGUUAGACUCGAGAGUCCGUCUCCAAAUCUCCUACCUCUCGUUGACACCGACCCUCGUCUCAUCUAUGAAGAUUAUAUCAUCAGCAAAUAGCAUACACCAUAGAACAUCCCCGUGAAUAUGGCGAGUCAGAGCAUCCAUUAUCAAAGCAAAAAGGAGAGGGCUAAGCGCAGAUCCUUGAUGGAGCCCUAUAACCACCGGAAAAUGGUCUGAGUCGCCACCCACUGUCC
rnacentral:lncRNA from 1 species